AACGAACGCUGGCGGCAUGCCUAACACAUGCAAGUCGAACGAAGCCUUCGGGCUUAGUGGCGCACGGGUGCGUAACACGUGGGAAUCUGCCCUUCGGUUCGGAAUAACAGUUAGAAAUGACUGCUAAUACCGGAUGAUGACGUAAGUCCAAAGAUUUAUCGCCGAAGGAUGAGCCCGCGUAGGAUUAGGUAGUUGGUAGGGUAAUGGCCUACCAAGCCGACGAUCCUUAGCUGGUCUGAGAGGAUGAUCAGCCACACUGGGACUGAGACACGGCCCAGACUCCUACGGGAGGCAGCAGUGGGGAAUAUUGGACAAUGGGCGAAAGCCUGAUCCAGCAAUGCCGCGUGAGUGAUGAAGGCCUUAGGGUGUAAAGCUCUUUUACCAGGGAUGAUAAUGACAGUAACCUGGAGAAUAAGCUCCGGCUAAACUCCGUGCCAGCAGCCGCGGUAAAAAUAGCGUACU
rnacentral:rRNA from 1 species